GAAGAAGGAAAAAGUGUGUAUGCAAAAAUGUAACAUAGUUGAUGGUACUGACAGUAAUAACAGUAUCAAUUUUUAACACAUUACUAACCGAUCGAGUAGAUCUACACGUUUCACGAUGGAUUAUUGCAGCCUGAUUUCUCGAUGAUAUAAAAAAAAAAACACGACUGGUUCUCAGAUUUUAUAGUAUUUUGACUCCUAUAAAUUACACAGUUACAUAAAAGUUUAAAUGGCAGUAUUUUAUUGCGACUCGUAAAAGAAUAGGCGACACUCAAAGCCUAGAGAAGUGCAAUUCAUACGAUUAAUAAUGUAAUAAGGAGUUUGGAAUAGCUUACAAUUUUUUUUCUGCGAUUUCUAAAAUUUGCUACUUUAUACAUCUCGCGGAAAGAAGAUUUGCCCCAGCAUGGAAACACCCUUCGGGCCAUAGUCGGACUCGAAAAUACAAAUUUUGGACGCAAAAUCACACUAUAAAAUAUAUCAUAAUGAGAGCACACGAUGAUCAACAGUUAACGAAAUCUACUCAGAAUUAGCCAAAAG